rnacentral:rRNA from 1 species
GCGUCGGUGAGGUGAUAUGAACCGUUAUAACCGGCGAUUUCCGAAUGGGGAAACCCAGUGUGUUUCGACACACUAUCAUUAACUGAAUCCAUAGGUUAAUGAGGCGAACCGGGGGAACUGAAACAUCUAAGUACCCCGAGGAAAAGAAAUCAACCGAGAUUCCCCCAGUAGCGGCGAGCGAACGGGGAGGAGCCCAGAGCCUGAAUCAGUGUGUGUGUUAGUGGAAGCGUCUGGAAAGGCGCGCGAUACAGGGUGACAGCCCCGUACACAAAAAUGCACAUAUUGUGAGCUCGAUGAGUAGGGCGGGACACGUGGUAUCCUGUCUGAAUAUGGGGGGACCAUCCUCCAAGGCUAAAUACUCCUGACUGACCGAUAGUGAACCAGUACCGUGAGGGAAAGGCGAAAAGAACCCCGGCGAGGGGAGUGAAAAAGAACCUGAAACCGUGUACGUACAAGCAGUGGGAGCCUCUUAAUGGGGUGACUGCGUACCUUUUGUAUAAUGGGUCAGCGACUUAUAUUCUGUAGCAAGGUUAACCGAAUAGGGGAGCCGAAGGGAAACCGAGUCUUAACUGGGCGUUAAGUUGCAGGGUAUAGACCCGAAACCCGGUGAUCUAGCCAUGGGCAGGUUGAAGGUUGGGUAACACUAACUGGAGGACCGAACCGACUAAUGUUGAAAAAUUAGCGGAUGACUUGUGGCUGGGGGUGAAAGGCCAAUCAAACCGGGAGAUAGCUGGUUCUCCCCGAAAGCUAUUUAGGUAGCGCCUCGUGAAUUCAUCUCCGGGGGUAGAGCACUGUUUCGGCAAGGGGGUCAUCCCGACUUACCAACCCGAUGCAAACUGCGAAUACCGGAGAAUGUUAUCACGGGAGACACACGGCGGGUGCUAACGUCCGUCGUGAAGAGGGAAACAACCCAGACCGCCAGCUAAGGUCCCAAAGUCAUGGUUAAGUGGGAAACGAUGUGGGAAGGCCCAGACAGCCAGGAUGUUGGCUUAGAAGCAGCCAUCAUUUAAAGAAAGCGUAAUAGCUCACUGGUCGAGUCGGCCUGCGCGGAAGAUGUAACGGGGCUAAACCAUGCACCGAAGCUGCGGCAGCGACACUAUGUGUUGUUGGGUAGGGGAGCG